rnacentral:lncRNA from 1 species
GCAAAAGAAGGUACUGGAUUUUGCCAAAUGAUGAUGCACUGCAACUCACUGCAAUCAAAAGUCAGAAGUCCAGGCAUCUAUUGCUGGGUUGUAGGAGGAACACAUCUGCUGCUGCUGCUGCUGCUGCUAAGUUGCUUCAGUCGUGUCCGACUCUGUGUGACCCCCAUAGACGGCAGCCCACCAGGCUCCCCCGUCCCUGAGAUUGUCCAGGCAAGAACAAUGGAGUGGGUUGCCAUUUCCUUCUCCAAUGCAAGAAGUGAAAAGUGAAAGUGAAGUCGCUCAGUUGUGUCCAACUCUUAGCGACCCCAUGGACUACAGCCUUCCAGGCUCCUCCACCCAUGGGAUUUUCCAGGCAAGAGGAAUGGAGUGGGGUGCCAUCAUCUAGUGUAUUAUAUAAGGCAAGCUACUCCUAUAUUGUUUUGUAUUUAUCACACACUCCAUUGGAAUUUGUAAGGACCAUUUAAACAUUAAUACUACUGUGCUGAAAUUUUGCUCAGAGGUUAAAGCGUCUGCCUGCAAUGCGGAAGACCUGGGUUCAAUCCCUGGGUCAGAAAGAUCCCCUGUAGAAGGAAAUGGCAACCCACUCCAGGAUUCUUGCCUGGAGAAUCCCAUGGAUGGAGGAGCCUGGUGGGCUACAGUCCAUGGGGUCGCAAAGAGUCGGACAUGACUGAGCGACUUCACUUCACUUCACUUCACUUCACUACUGUGUUGAAAUUUUGUUAUAGUGAAUGGGUACUGGUUAGGGUUUUGGCAAUCCUAUUGUUGAAUAAACAUUUUUUUGCCAAAAUUGUACUUAUUUUUAUGAAAUUCAAUCUGGAAUGAUCCUUGGGGAUCCUGAAAGAUAUAGUUCACUUUUCAGAACCUGGCUUUGGAAAAUAUUUUGGCUUGGCAUUGUAGAUAUUUUGUUUUUAAUCUGAAAAAUCUUUUCAACUUUCUUUACCAGUUUUUUCUUUCAUUUGUAUAAUCCUAUAAAUAAAAGAAUGAUUAAAGUUUUCUCCCAGAAGGAAAGAAGCAUUCAAAAUAUUAAAAAAAAAUUGACUUCUUAGGAACAAAUAAA